AUUUUCGGAAAUUCGGCCGCAUUCAAAAGAUUUCCUUUAUCAUUCUCCUCCUUCUUCCAAAACCUAGCCGACGCUAGGGUUUAAGACGCCCCGCAUUUCUCUCUAACGCCUAAAACCCCUAAAGUAUUUAUACCCACCUGUCGCCAAUUCGCCAUGAAAUCUUGUAACUUCAAAACCCUAAAUUUAUUCAUCAUAGAUGAUGGGUUAUGCACGUAGCAACACCAAAAUCAAAGUAGAACAGGAGCCUCUGGAAGUUUCACCAGGCCUCAAGAAAUCCAACGUCUCACUUGAUCAAUCUUUCAUAGAGUUCGAAGAAUAUCCCGACACUUUCUUAGACUCUCUCUUGAAUUUUGACGAUUGGGUUGAAGAUCAUCCAAAUUCAUCGGUGGCUCAAGCUAUGAAUUCAGAAGAGAAAUCCAAUUUGGACAAGUCUUUGGAAAUUAAGGAAGAGAAAGAAGAAGAGGUUUGUGAGUCUGCGAAAUUAGAGGACUUGGGGGAUUUGAUUCAGGAAGGGAUGGGUCGAGUUCGUUUAACUUCGGGUGUUGAUGUGAUUGACGGUGCAAGUAGUGAGGUUACAGGUAGCGAGGAAACUACCAAUGGCGUUGAGAUUGGAGUGAAGAAUAAUGUUGAGAAAGGUGCUGAUGAUGUGGAAGAGUCAGAGGAUGAGGAUUCUGAGGAGGAUUCUGAGGAGGAUUCAUCAUCAUCUUCAUCGUCUUCUAGUAGCAGUAGUACUAGUGAUGAUGAAGAAGAAGAUGAUAGCGAUGAUGAAGAAGACGAUGUGAAAGAGGUAAAGAAAGUGAAAGGGGAGGUGGAAAUGGAAGAAGG
rnacentral:lncRNA from 1 species